UGGGGAAUAUUGCACAAUGGGCGAAAGCCUGAUGCAGCGACGCCGCGUGAGGGAUGACGGCCUUCGGGUUGUAAACCUCUUUCAGCAGGGACGAAGCGCAAGUGACGGUACCUGCAGAAGAAGCACCGGCUAACUACAUGCCAGCAGCCGCGGUAAUACGUAGGGUGCAAGCGUUGUCCGGAAUUACUGGGCGUAAAGAGUUCGUAGGCGGUUUGUCGCGUCGUUUGUGAAAACCAGCAGCUCAACUGCUGGCUUGCAGGCGAUACGGGCAGACUUGAGUACUGCAGGGGAGACUGGAAUUCCUGGUGUAGCGGUGAAAUGCGCAGAUAUCAGGAGGAACACCGGUGGCGAAGGCGGGUCUCUGGGCAGUAACUGACGCUGAGGAACGAAAGCGUGGGUAGCGAACAGG
rnacentral:rRNA from 1 species